AGUGAACGCUGGCGGUAGGCCUAACACAUGCAAGUCGAACGGCAGCACAGUAAGAGCUUGCUCUUACGGGUGGCGAGUGGCGGACGGGUGAGGAAUACAUCGGAAUCUACUUUUUCGUGGGGGAUAACGUAGGGAAACUUACGCUAAUACCGCAUACGACCUACGGGUGAAAGCAGGGGUUCUUCGGACUUUUCCCGUUCGAUUGAGCCGGUGCCGGAUUACCUAGUUGGCGGGGUAAAGGCCCACCAAGGCGACGAUCCGUAGCUGGUCUGAGAGGAUGAUCAGCCACACUGGAACUGAGACACGGUCCAGACUCCUACGGGAGGCAGCAGUGGGGAAUAUUGGACAAUGGGCGAAAGCCUGAUCCAGCCAUACCGCGUGGGUGAAGAAGGCCUUCGGGUUGUAAAACCCUUUUGUUGGGAAAGAAAAGAAGCAGGUUAAUACCCCGCUGUUUUGACGGUACCCAAAGAAUAAGCACCGGCUAACUUCGUG
rnacentral:rRNA from 1 species